AAUAAAAUGGCAUGAUUAUUUUUAAAAGAAACUUGUUUUUCCUAGGUUUGUUUUUGAUUUUUUUCCUUCCAUUUCUGUUCCUCUACCACUGGCUCUUUCAUGGAUGAGCCAGGGCUCAUCUGUCCAGUUACUUUUCUUUGGCCAGUGCCUCCAUGGUGGGGAGCAGAGCAGGAUAUAGGGUCUGAGGGGGGUUGUUACAUGGUGGCCGGCAGUUGCUUCACCUCAUUAGUG
rnacentral:lncRNA from 1 species